GAGGGAUCAUUACCGAGUUAUACAACUCAUCAACCCUGUGAACAUACCUAAAACGUUGCUUCGGCGGGAACAGACGGCCCCGUAACACGGGCCGCCCCCGCCAGAGGACCCCCUAACUCUGUUUCUAUUAUGUUUCUUCUGAGUAAAACAAGCAAAUAAAUUAAAACUUUCAACAACGGAUCUCUUGGCUCUGGCAUCGAUGAAGAACGCAGCGAAAUGCGAUAAGUAAUGUGAAUUGCAGAAUUCAGUGAAUCAUCGAAUCUUUGAACGCACAUUGCGCCCGCCAGUAUUCUGGCGGGCAUGCCUGUUCGAGCGUCAUUACAACCCUCAGGCCCCCGGGCCUGGCGUUGGGGAUCGGCGAGGCGCCCCCUGCGGGCACACGCCGUCCCCCAAAUACAGUGGCGGUCCCGCCGCAGCUUCCAUUGCGUAGUAGCUAACACCUCGCAACUGGAGAGCGGCGCGGCCACGCCGUAAAACACCCAACUUCUGAAUGUUGACCUCGAAUCAGGUAGGAAUACCCGCUGAACUUAAGCAAU
rnacentral:misc_RNA from 1 species